AGCUGCAAAUGAGAAUUACUGCUGGAGUGUCGAAUCAUAGGAAGAGCAAGUUUUGAUGAUGUUCAGGUGAGGAUUUGAGCCGAAGUGAUACUGCUAAUUUCCAGGGAAAAGUUGGUUUCAGUUUGAAUUAGAGAAUCAGAGAAAGAAGAUAUGAAAUCACUACUAUCAUUCACCAUCAGGAGGAUGGUCGAAUAAAUGAGAACUUGAGGUGGAUUCAUAGAAUUGAAGAUGGCAGCAGCUGCAGUUGAUUCAUAGUUGCAGUCUAUGAGAAGAGAGAUUCAAGAGCUGGUUGAAGUACAAACUGGAGUUCAAAUCGAUUCUGUGAAUAAAGAGAUGGAGGAUGAAAAACUGAGAUUCAAAGGUCUGUGAACAAUUGGUUUGGAAUUUGAAAUCGAGAAAUAAAAGAAUGAGUUUUGAAUUGAUUAGUUGGUUCGAUUUGAUAUGGUGAAAUUAGAAGAUAAAGCUGCUGACGCACACAGAAAGAAGAAGAAUAGCUCAUCCUGGUGAUUAUGAGAGUAAGGGACUGAAAUUGGCAGUUCUGGUGAUACAGUGAUGCUGUUAUGAAGCUGCAGGAAGUGGAUCUGCAAGCAGUUAUUGCAGGAGCCAAGUAACCAGCUGAUUGGUGCAGCUGACUUAUUGUAGUUGAGCUGUACAUGGGAGUUGUAGUGGUGCUGUUGCUUUCAGCUGGGAUGAGAAGAACAUGGUGAAACUGGAGUUCAGGGGAGUGUGGCAGUAGUAUGGCAUGGAACUGAUGGUGGUACUGAGAUGUAAUGGUGCUGGAACUGUUGCCAUCGGCUGGAGGACUAGAAUGGGUUGAAACUGCGGGUGUUGAUUGAAAUGAUUCUUAGUUUUUGUGGUUUGAGCUGGAGCAGUGGCUUGAGAUGAAGAGUUGCAUCUGCAGUUGCAGUGGGUUCUGUGAUUGGAGAUGAGUCUGGUGGUUUGGUGGAUUUGGUUUGAAAUCAGAUGGAUUUGAGAAUCGACAUCGUGGUUGUGAAUCUGAUAUGGAUGGUGUUGCACCCGAUGGUAGUAAAGUUGGUGUACGAGCUUGAUGUAGUGAGGCUGUGAUGGUCUUGAUGUUGUUCAAUGGUGGAGAUUCAGAUGCAGUUACAGUGGCAGUUGUGAUAUGAGAGAGUCUUCUUAGUGCUAUUGAAGUGUGCUAAUGCAUGGAAUUGCAGGGAAGAGACAGUGCCUGAACAAGACUGCAGAAACAGUGCGAAAAGUGAGCGAAAAUGGAGAGCCGGUGGUACUAGUUCCAGUUGCCAGAUCUCAGAAUGGAAAGUGGGAAUUGCAAAGUUUCACUGGAUCAUGAAGGGGGUUCGAGUCGGAUGCAAGAGUCGACCGUGGGAUAUAUGAGUUACGAAUCACUUUUUUUGGCACGUUUUUGCAAGAACAAGGAAUUGGCUUAAGUGGUUCUUUUGUGAAUGUGUGGGAUGCAGAGAAGCAAAGUUGAGCUACUGGAAGUGUAGAAUUUCUUGGUGAUAGUUUCUGAUCAUUCAGGUGGCUAUAGAAAGUUUCUCGAUGCCGGAUUCCGAUGACAGUGACCGGAUUCCGGUGAUGACGUCAUCAAUUCGGCGACCCAAUUUUGGACCCAGAAUUUCCAGAAGAGAUUUUUUAACACAUGGGCUUGGUGGAUCAAUUGGAUACGGGUUUUGAGAAGAAUUGACCAAGUUUUGGAAAGAGUAUCCUUUUGGAAUUGAAGAAGCAUAUAAAUAGAAAAGUCUUUCUCUAAACCGAGAUAUCUCCAUGAGGGAGGCUUCUUGUUGUUUUUCUAGGGUUUCACAUGAUAGUUUUUCUUUGCUUUCUAUGAUGAUUUCCAAAAACACAAGUAACUAAGUUUUAUUAUUGGUUAAAGAUGUAUUUGGAUUUUGC